rnacentral:rRNA from 1 species
UACGUAGGUGGCAAGCGUUGUCCGGAUUUACUGGGCGUAAAGAGCGCGCAGGCGGUCGUGCAAGUCGCGUGUGAAAGCCCCCGGCUCAACUGGGGAGGGUCACGCGAUACUGCUCGACUCGAAGGCAGGAGAGGGAAGUGGAAUUCCCGGUGUAGUGGUGAAAUGCGUAGAUAUCGGGAGGAACACCGAUGGCGAAGGCAGGUCUCUGGGCCACUACUGACGCUGAGAAGCGAAAGCAUGGGGAGCGAACAGG